GCCGGCGUGGCAUAGUGGUUUGAGUGUUGGGCUACCACUCUGGGGACCAGGGUUCGAUCCCUGGUUUGACC
rnacentral:tRNA from 1 species